GGAACUGUGCCUGAAUCCUAGGGGCCACUUUGAUAGAGUGUAAAAUGAGGGUUAAAGUCCCUCCAGCUCCU
rnacentral:tRNA from 1 species